AUUGAACGCUGGCGGCAGGCCUAACACAUGCCAGUCGAGCGGAUGAAGGGAGCUUGCUCCUGGAUUCAGCGGCGGACGGGUGAGUAAUGCCUAGGAAUCUGCCUGGUAGUGGGGGAUAACGUCCGGAAACGGGUGCUAAUACCGCAUACGUCCUGUGGGAGAAAGUGGGGGAUCUUCGGACCUUACGCUAUCAGAUGAGCCUAGGUCGGAUUAGCUAGUUGGUGGGGUAAAGGCCUACCAAGGCGACGAUCCGUAACUGGUCUGAGAGGAUGAUCAGUCACACUGGAACUGAGACACGGUCCAGACUCCUACGGGAGGGAGCAGUGGGGAAUAUUGGACAAUGGGCGAAAGCCUGAUCCAGCCAUGCCGCGUGUGUGAAGAAGGUCUUCGGAUUGUAAAGCACUUUAAGUUGGGAGGAAGGGCAGUAAGUUAAUACCUUGCUGUUUUGACGGUACCAACAGAAUAAGCACCGGCUAACUUCGUG
rnacentral:rRNA from 1 species